rnacentral:rRNA from 1 species
GCGGAUGGGUGAGUAACGCGUAGGCAACCUGCCUUUGGCACGGGGAUAACCGCCGGAAACGGCGGCUAAUACCCGACGAUGCAGCGGCCCCGCAUGGGGACAGUUGUUAAAGGGCCUUCGGGCCGGCCGGAGAUGGGCCUGCGUACCAUUAGCUAGUUGGUGAGGUAGGAGCUCACCAAGGCGAUGAUGGUUAGGGGGUCUGAGAGGAUGAUCCCCCACACUGGGACUGAGACACGGCCCAGACUCCUACGGGAGGCAGCAGUGAGGAAUCUUGCGCAAUGGAGGCAACUCUGACGCAGCCACGCCGCGUGCAGGAAGACGGUCCUAUGGAUUGUAACCUGCUUUUGGUCGGGAAGAACCCGGAGGUUUUGAUCUCCGCUGACGGUACCGAUCGAAUAAGCACCGGCUAACUCCGUGCCAGCAGCCGCGGUAAUACGGAGGGUGCAAGCGUUGUCCGGAAUCAUUGGGUGUAAAGGGUGCGUAGGCGGGCUGCUAAGUCGGGGGUGAAAUCCUGCCGCUCAACGGUAGAAUGGCCUUCGAUAC